rnacentral:rRNA from 1 species
UCCCCUAGUAACUGCGAGUGAAGCGGGAAAAGCUCAAAUUUAAAAUCUGGCAGUCUUUGGCUGUCCGAAUUGUAUUCUGGAGAAGCGUUUUCCGCGCUGGACCGUGUACAAGUCUCUUGGAAUAGAGCGUCAUAGAGGGUGAGAAUCCCGUCUUUGACACGGACUACCAGUGCUUUGUGAUGCGCUCUCAAAGAGUCGAGUUGUUUGGGAAUGCAGCUCAAAAUGGGUGGUGAAUUCCAUCUAAAGCUAAAUAUUGGCGAGAGACCGAUAGCGAACAAGUACCGUGAGGGAAAGAUGAAAAGCACUUUGGAAAGAGAGUUAAACAGUACGUGAAAUUGCUGAAAGGGAAACGCUUGAAGUCAGUCGCGUCAUCCAGAACUCAGCCUGGCUUUUGCUUGGUGUAUUUUCUGGUUGAUGGGCCAGCAUCAGUUUUGACCGCUGGAAAAAGGCCAUGGGAAUGUGGCACCUUCGGGUGUGUUAUAGCCCGUGGUCAUAUACAGCGGUUGGGACUGAGGACCGCAGCACGCCUUUAUGGUUGGGGUUCGCCCACAUUCGUGCUUAGGAUGCUGGCGUAAUGGCUUUAAACGACCCGUCUUGAAACACGGACCAAGGAGUCUAACAUGCCUGCGAGUGUUUGGGUGGAAAACCCGAGCGCGUAAUGAAAGUGAAAGUUGGGAUCCCUGUCGUGGGGAGCACCGACGCCCGGACCAGACCUUUUGUGACGGAUCCGCGGUAGAGCAUGUAUGUUGGGACCCGAAAGAUGGUGAACUAUGCCUGAAUAGGGUGAAGCCAGAGGAAACUCUGGUGGAGGCUCGUAGCGAUUCUGACGUGCAAAUCGAUCGUCAAAUUUGGGUAUAGGGGCGAAAGACUAAU